rnacentral:lncRNA from 1 species
UGCGGAUAGAAGAUCAUCAUAUUCAAAAUCCAUGAUAGUUAGUUCUUCACGAUACUCAGCAGCCACAUAUGCGUCCAACCUCUAUGGGUAUCCACACGAAGCUCUUAUACUGAUCGGUCUCUCUCGGAGUGCUAGCUCAUGAAGACACCUUUUAUUGGCUGAUCUAAGAUGAAUAUGAAGAAGACAAAGAACAAAGAGACCC